UACAGAGGUCUCAAGCGUUGUUCGGAUUCAUUGGGCGUAAAGGGUGCGUAGGUGGCGCCGUAAGUCGGGUGUGAAAUCUCAGAGCUCAACUCUGAAACUGCACUCGAUACUGCUCUGCUUGAGGACUGGAGAGGAGACUGGAAUUCACGGUGUAGCAGUGAAAUGCGUAGAUAUCGUGAGGAAGACCAGUGGCGAAGGCGGGUCUCUGGACAGUUCCUGACGCUGAGGCGCGAAGGCCAGGGGAGCAAACCGG
rnacentral:rRNA from 1 species